rnacentral:rRNA from 1 species
GGCAGGUACAGAGGGGUGCUACCGGGUGACCGGAUGCCGAUCUCGAAAACCUGUCCCAGUUCGGACUGGAGUCUGCAACCCGACUCCACGAAGUUGGAUUCGCUAGUAAUCGCGCAUCAGCCAUGGCGCGGUGAAUACGUUCCCGGGCCUUGUACACACCGCCCGUCAAGCCAUGGGAGCCGGGGGCGCCUGAAGUCCGGGACCGCGAGGACCGGCCUAAGGCGAAACUGGUGACUGGGGCUAAGUCGUAACAAGGUAAC